UACGUAGGGUGCAAGCGUUAAUCGGAAUUACUGGGCGUAAAGCGUGCGCAGGCGGUUUUGUAAGUCUGUCGUGAAAUCCCCGGGCUCAACCUGGGAAUUGCGAUGGAGACUGCAAGGCUAGAAUCUGGCAGAGGGGGGUAGAAUUCCACGUGUAGCAGUGAGAUGCGUAGAGAUGUGGAGGAACACCGAUGGCGAAGGCAGCCCCCUGGGUCAAGAUUGACGCUCAUGCACGGAAAGCGUGGGGAGCAAACAGG
rnacentral:rRNA from 1 species